AUUGAACGCUGGCGGCAGGCCUAACACAUGCAAGUCGAGCGGAUGAAGGGAGCUUGCUCCUGGAUUCAGCGGCGGACGGGUGAGUAAUGCCUAGGAAUCUGCCUGGUAGUGGGGGAUAACGUCCGGAAACGGGCGCUAAUACCGCAUACGACCUGAGGGAGGAAGUGGGGGAUCUUCGGACCUCACGCUAUCAGAUGAGCCUAGGUCGGAUUAGCUAGUUGGUGGGGUAAAGGCCUACCAAGGCGACGAUCCGUAACUGGUCUGAGAGGAUGAUCAGUCACACUGGAACUGAGACACGGUCCAGACUCCUACGGGGGGCAGCAGUGGGGAAUAUUGGACAAUGGGCGAAAGCCUGAUCCAGCCAUGCCGCGUGUGUGAAGAAGGUCUUCGGAUUGUAAAGCACUUUAAGUUGGGAGGAAGGGCAGUAAGUUAAUACCUUGCUGUUUUGACGUUACCAACAGAAUAAGCACCGGCUAACUUCGUG
rnacentral:rRNA from 1 species